AUUGAACGCUGGCGGAAUGCUUUACACAUGCAAGUCGAACGGCAGCACGGACUUCGGUCUGGUGGCGAGUGGCGAACGGGUGAGUAAUACAUCGGAACGUGCCCAAUCGUGGGGGAUAACGUAGCGAAAGCUACGCUAAUACCGCAUACGAUCUAAGGAUGAAAGCGGGGGAUCGCAAGACCUCGCGCGAUUGGAGCGGCCGAUGGCAGAUUAGGUAGUUGGUAGGGUAAAGGCCUACCAAGCCGACGAUCUGUAGCUGGUCUGCGAGGAUGAGCAGCCACGCUGAGACUGAGACACGGCCCAGACUCCGACGGGAGGCAGCAGUGGGGAAUUUUGGACAAUGGGCGAAAGCAUGAGCCAGCCAUUCCGCGUGCAGGAUGAAGGCCCUCGUGUUGUAAACUGCUUUUGUACAGAACGAAAAGGUUUCUACUAAUACUAGGAGCUCAUGACGGUACUGUAAGAAUAAGCACCGGCUAACUACGUGCCAGCCGCCGCCGUAA
rnacentral:rRNA from 1 species